rnacentral:rRNA from 1 species
AUCAUGGCUCAGGAUGAACGCUAGCUACAGGCUUAACACAUGCAAGUCGAGGGGCAGCAUAACGAAAGCUUGCUUUGUUGAUGGCGACCGGCGCACGGGUGAGUAACGCGUAUCCAACCUUCCCUAUAGUAGAGAAUAGCCCGGCGAAAGUCGGAUUAAUGCUCUAUGUUCUCUUUGAUGGCAUCUGACGAGAAGCAAAGGUUCACCGCUAUAGGAUGGGGAUGCGUCUGAUUAGGUAGUCGGCGGGGUAACGGCCCACCGAGCCAACGAUCAGUAGGGGUUCUGAGAGGAAGGUCCCCCACAUUGGUACUGAGACACGGACCAAACUCCUACGGGAGGCAGCAGUGAGGAAUAUUGGUCAAUGGGCGAGAGCCUGAACCAGCCAAGUAGCGUGCAAGGAGGACUGCCCUAUGGGUUGUAAACUGCUUUUAUGCGGGAAUAAAGUCCACUACGUGUAGUGGUUUGUAUGUACCGCAUGAAUAAGGACCGGCUAAUUCCGUGCCAGCAGCGGC